rnacentral:rRNA from 1 species
AAGGGCACCACAAGAACGCGUGGAGCAUGUGGCUUAAUUUGACUCAACGCGGGAAAUCUUACCGGGUCCGGACACACUUAGGAUUGACAGGCGCUUAAGAAAUCAUGUUGUUAUUUUUUAACAGCUAAUUUCUUUUCAAAUAUGCUAGUCCUUUCAUGAUUGUGUGAUAGGUGGUGCAUGGCCGUUCUUAGUUCGUGGAGUGAUCUGUCUGCUUAAUUGCGUUUAACACGGGAUCUCAAUUUAUUAAUCUUCCAUUAUGGCGUAAUUUAAUUUGGUUAUAAUAACUAUAUACGGAUAUUAACAAAUAGACAUACAUACAAUAUAAAUUUAUUUAUAUUAUUGUCUAUUUUUCCUAUAUUUUUUUAACCUAAGCCAUAGGAAGGGUCCCAAAAGCAACGAACGUGACCG